GAGGGUAUAGCUCAGUGCCUACCUUAUGCCUACCAUGCAUAAGGUCCUGGGUUCAAUCCCCAGUACCACCA
rnacentral:tRNA from 1 species